UACGGAGGGGACUAGCGUUGUUCGGAAUUACUGGGCGUAAAGCGCACGUAGGCGGAUUUGUUAGUCAGGGGUGAAAUCCCGAGGCUCAACCUCGGAACUGCCUUUGAUACUGCAAAUCUCGAGUCCGGAAGAGGUGAGUGGAAUUCCUAGUGUAGAGGUGAAAUUCGUAGAUAUUCGGAAGAACACCAGUGGCGAAGGCGACUUACUGGACGAUUGUUGACGCUGAGGUGCGAAAGCGUGGGGAGCAAACAGG
rnacentral:rRNA from 1 species